AGAUGUUGGGUUAAGUCCCGUAACGAGCGCAACCCUUGUCCUUAGUUACCAGCACGUUAUGGUGGGCACUCUAAGGAGACUGCCGGUGACAAACCGGAGGAAGGUGGGGAUGACGUCAAGUCAUCAUGGCCCUUACGGCCUGGGCUACACACGUGCUACAAUGGUCGGUACAAAGGGUUGCCAAGCCGCGAGGUGGAGCUAAUCCCAUAAAACCGAUCGUAGUCCGGAUCGCAGUCUGCAACUCGACUGCGUGAAGUCGGAAUCGCUAGUAAUCGUGAAAUCAGAAUGUCACGGUGAAUACGUUCCCGGGCCUU
rnacentral:rRNA from 1 species